CAGUAGCCGCGGGAAUACGUAGGUGGCAAGCGUUGUCCGGAAUUAUUGGGCGUAAAGGGAGCGCAGGCGGUCAGGAAAGUCUGGAGUAAAAGGCUAUGGCUCAACCAUAGUGUGCUCUGGAAACUGUCUGACUUGAGUGCAGAAGGGGAGAGUGGAAUUCCAUGUGUAGCGGUGAAAUGCGUAGAUAUAUGGAGGAACACCAGUGGCGAAAGCGGCUCUCUGGUCUGUCACUGACGCUGAGGCUCGAAAGCGUGGGUAGCGAACAGGAUUAGAUACCCCCGUAGUCCCUGUCUCUUAUACC
rnacentral:rRNA from 1 species